AUGCAAAGAAGACGACAGGAAACUUCUGCUCAUACAGACUACUACAUUAUCAUUAAUUUUGUAUCACUGUGGUGGACUUUCGGCAGCGGCACCAGACUGGAUGUUGGCAGCAACAGUCCCCCUAAAGUGAGCGUCCUGCCGCCGCCCAGUGAAGAGAUUUCCACAAAGCAAACAGCAACACUGAUGUGUGUGGCCAACAAGGGCUUCCCCUCAGACUGGAGUCUGAACUGGAAGGUGGACGGGAUCAGCAGCAGGUCUCAGUACAGCAGUGUUGCUCUCCUGGAGAAGGACGGUCUGUACAGCUGGAGCAGCAGUCUGACUCUCUCUGAGCAGGAGUGGAGCUCAGUGAUCUCAGUCAGCUGUGAGCUCACACAGAAAGACCAGCGUGAUAAAGUCACUGGAGAAUUGAGGAGAGAUCAGUGUUCACAGUAGAUCCACUCACUCUCACAUCAAGACUAACAGACUAACUGUGUUUCUCUUCAUUUCUCUCUCUCAUCAAACAACACAAGUCUAUGUCUGCUUUAUUCAUUCACUCAUGAUUGUGUGACA